CAGCAGCCACGGUAAUACGAAGGGUGCAAGCGUUACUCGGAAUUACUGGGCGUAAAGCGCACGUAGGCGGCUUUGUAAGUUAGAGGUGAAAGCCUGGAGCUCAACUCCAGAAUUGCCUUUAAGACUGCAUCGCUUGAAUCCAGGAGAGGUGAGUGGAAUUCCGAGUGUAGAGGUGAAAUUCGUAGAUAUUCGGAAGAACACCAGCGGCGAAGGCGGCUCACUGGACUGGUAUUGACGCUGAGGUGCGAAAGCGUGGGGAGCAAACAGGAUUAGAUACCCGCGUAGUCCCUGUCUCUUAUAA
rnacentral:rRNA from 1 species